rnacentral:rRNA from 1 species
UACGUAGGGGGCAAGCGUUGUCCGGAUUUAUUGGGCGUAAAGAGCGUGUAGGCGGCCUGACAGGUCUGCUGUGAAAACUCGAGGCUCAACCUCGAGAUGUCGGCGGAAACCGUCUGGCUAGAGUCCGGAAGAGGAGAGUGGAAUUCCUGGUGUAGCGGUGAAAUGCGCAGAUAUCAGGAAGAACAUCGGUGGCGAAGGCGCUCUGCUGGACCAUAACUGACACUCAGGGACGAAAGCUAGGGGAGCAAAUGGG